GGAAGCUAGGUGUUACUGGUUGCACAGCGGCCUUUUAAGCCGUCAGGAGUUGGGUUCGAGACCCACAGCUUCUACCA
rnacentral:tRNA from 1 species